UCUUAGUUCAGUUCGGUAGAACGUGGGUCAAAAGCGGCAGACUGUAAAUCUGUUGAAGUUUUUCUACGUAGGUUCGAAUCCUGCUUUCGAAU